CCUACGGGAGGCAGCAGUAGGGAAUAUUGGACAAUGGGUGCAAGCCUGAUCCAGCCAUGCCGCGUGCAGGAAGAAAGCCUUCUGGGUUGUAAACUGCUUUUUUCAGGGGAUAAAAUACCGGUGCGCCGGGAAUUGCAAGUACCUGGAGAAUAAGCCACGGCUAACUACGUGCCAGCAGCCGCGGUAAU
rnacentral:rRNA from 1 species